rnacentral:rRNA from 1 species
UACGUAGGGUGCAAGCGUUGUCCGGAAUUACUGGGCGUAAAGAGCUCGUAGGUGGUUUGUCGCGUUGUUCGUGAAAACUCACAGCUCAACUGUGGGCGUGCGGGCGAUACGGGCAGACUUGAGUACUGCAGGGGAGACUGGAAUUCCUGGUGUAGCGGUGGAAUGCGCAGAUAUCAGGAGGAACACCGGUGGCGAAGGCGGGUCUCUGGGCAGUAACUGACGCUGAGGAGCGAAAAGCGUGGGGGAGCGAAACAGG